AGGGCACAUUUCUGUUAGCAACAUGGCAUGGAAUUCAAGUUGCUGUUAAAAUGUUUGGUGAAGAAGUCAUGACCAAUGAGGAUAAAGUGAGUGCGUUUAUUGAUGAGCUUGCCUUACUUCAAAAAAUAAGGCAUCCAAAUGUAGUGCAGUUCCUAGGAGCUGUUACUCAAAGUAGUCCAAUGAUGAUUGUCACCGAGUAUUUACCAAAGGGUGAUCUUCGUGCUUAUUUGAAUAAGAAGCGCCCAAGUUAGAAGAUGGCGAUCAAGUUUGCACUUGAUAUUGCUAGAUGGAU